rnacentral:ncRNA from 1 species
AAGGUCUGGUCCUAGCCUUGAAGUCAAUUUUUAUUUAAUAUAUACAUGCAAGUCUCCGCACCCCUGUGAGAACGCCCUAAUCUCCCUUAUCGGGAAUAGGAGCUGGUAUCAGGCACAAUUUUUUGCCCAAAACACCUAGCCUUGCCACACCCACAAGGGUCUUCAGCAGUGAUUAAUUUUGAACAUAAGCGACAGCUUGACUCAGUUAAAUUAACUAGAGCCGGCCAAUACUCGUGUGCCAGCCGCCGCGGCUACACCAGAGGCUCAAAUUGACUUCCAUCGGCGUAAAGCGUGAUUAAAGUCCUCAACCCAUUGGAAUCUAAUUAAAACUGAGCUGUAAUAAGUUUGUAUCUAAGAAGACCAAAAACGAAAGUUAUUCCAAUUUUUUCCACUUGAAUUCACGAUAACUGAGAAACAAACUGGGAUUAGAUACCCCACUAUGCUCAGUCGCAAACUUUAAAUUACACCAACAUCGCCAGGGAACUACGAGCAAAGCUUAAAACCCAAAGGACUUGACGGUACCCCACAUCCACCUAGAGGAGCCUGUCCUACAAUCGAUAACCCCCGUUUAACCUCACCAUUUUUUGCUUUUCAGUCUGUAUACCUCCGUCGUCAGCUUACCACGUGAGCGUCAGUAAGCUCCAUGUUUUUUCAACCACACGUCAGGUCAAGGUGCAACUUAUAAAAUGGGCAGAGAUGGGCUACACUUUCUAACUUAGACCAUACGGAAAACUACUAAUGAAAUUUAGUCAGAAGGCGGAUUUAGAAGUAAAAGGGAACUAGAGAGUUCCUUUAAACCCGGUACUGGGGUGUGUACACACCGCCCGUCACCCUCCUCUAUCAUUACCAAUAAAAUUUUUAAUCCUUUUAACUUUAUAGAAGAGGUAAGUCGUAACAUGGUAAGUGUACCGGAAGGUGUACUUGGAUA